rnacentral:piRNA from 1 species
UGAGAAUAUCUGAAAUGAUGAGUCGCACA